UACGUAGGGACCAAGCGUUGUUCGGAUUUACUGGGCGUAAAGGGCGCGUAGGCGGCAAUUCAAGUCAUCUGUGAAAUCUCUGGGCUUAACUCGGAACGGUCAGAUGAUACUGCUUUGCUAGAGUGCGGAAGGGGCAAUCGGAAUUCUUGGUGUAGCGGUGAAAUGCGUAGAUAUCAAGAGGAACACCUGAGGUGAAGACGGGUGCUGGGCCGACACUGACGCUGAUAGCGCGAAAGCCGGGGAGCAAACGGG
rnacentral:rRNA from 1 species